rnacentral:rRNA from 1 species
CCUACGGGUUGCAGCAGUGAGGAAUAUUGGUCAAUGGAGGCAACUCUGAACCAGCCAUGCCGCGUGCAGGAUGACUGCCCUAUGGGUUGUAAACUGCUUUUAUACAGGAAGAAACCUAUCUACGUGUAGAUAGCUGACGGUACUGUACGAAUAAGGAUCGGCUAACUCCGUGCCAGCAGCCGCGGUAAUACGGAGGAUCCAAGCGUUAUCCGGAAUCAUUGGGUUUAAAGGGUGCGUAGGCGGAUUGAUAAGUCAGAGGUGAAAUCCUACAGCUUAACUGUAGAACUGCCUUUGAUACUGUUGAUCUUGAAUAUAGUUGAAGUAGGCGGAAUGUAACAUGUAGCGGUGAAAUGCAUAGAGAUGUUACAGAACACCGAUUGCGAAGGCAGCUUACUAAGCUAAUAUUGACGCUGAGGCACGAAAGCGUGGGGAGCGAACAGGAUUAGAUACCCGAGUAGUC